AGCGAACGCUGGCGGCAGGCUUAACACAUGCAAGUCGAGCGGGCAUCCUUGUGGUGUCAGCGGCAGACGGGUGAGUAACGCGUGGGAACGUGCCCUUCGGUUCGGAUUAACUCAGGGAAACUUGAGCUAAUACCGGAUACGUGCGAGAGCAGAAAGGUUUAUCUGCCGAAGGAUCGGCCCGCGUCUGAUUAGCUAGUUGGUGAGGUUAUGGCUCACCAAGGCGACGAUCAGUAGCUGGUCUGAGAGGAUGAUCAGCCACACUGGGACUGAGACACGGCCCAGACUCCUACGGGAGGCAGCAGUGGGGAAUAUUGGACAAUGGGGGCAACCCUGAUCCAGCCAUGCCGCGUGAGUGAUGACGGCCUUAGGGUUGUAAAGCUCUUUUCUCCGGGACGAUAAUGACGGUACCGGAGGAAUAAGCCCCGGCUAACUUCGUG
rnacentral:rRNA from 1 species